rnacentral:rRNA from 1 species
UGGCGGACGGGUGAGUAACGCGUGGGUAACCUGCCUCACACAGGGGGAUAACAGUUAGAAAUGACUGCUAAUACCGCAUAACCCGAUAGGAUCGCAUGAUCCAGACGGAAAAGAUUUAUCGGUGUGAGAUGGACCCGCGUCUGAUUAGCUAGUUGGUGAGGUAACGGCCCACCAAGGCGACGAUCAGUAGCCGGCCUGAGAGGGUGAACGGCCACAUUGGGACUGAGACACGGCCCAAACUCCUACGGGAGGCAGCAGUGGGGAAUAUUGCACAAUGGGGGAAACCCUGAUGCAGCGACGCCGCGUGAGUGAAGAAGUAUUUCGGUAUGUAAAGCUCUAUCAGCAGGGAAGAAAAUGACGGUACCUGACUAAGAAG